GCCAGACUCCUACGGGAGGCAGCAGUGGGGAAUAUUGCACAAUGGGGGGAACCCUGAUGCAGCGACGCCGCGUGGGUGAAGGAGCGUUUCGGCGCGUAAAGCCCUAUCGGCAGGGAAGAAGGAGGACGGUACCUGACUAAGAAGCCCCGGCUAACUACGUGCCAGCAGCCGCGGUAAUACGUAGGGGGCAAGCGUUAUCCGGAUUUACUGGGUGUAAAGGGGGCGCAGACGGCAGCGCAAGCCAGGAGUGAAAGCCCGGGGCCCAACCCCGGGACUGCUCUUGGAACUGCGCGGCUGGAGUGCAGGAGGGGCAGGCGGAAUUCCUGGUGUAGCGGUGAAAUGCGUAGAUAUCAGGAGGAACACCGGUGGCGAAGGCGGCCUGCUGGACUGCGACUGACGUUGAGGCCCGAAAGCGUGGGGAGCAAACAGGAUUAGAUACCCUAGUAGG
rnacentral:rRNA from 1 species